UAAUACGGAGGGUGCGAGCGUUAAUCGGAAUUACUGGGCGUAAAGGGUGCGUAGGUGGUUUGAUAAGUUAUCUGUGAAAUUCCUGGGCUUAACCUGGGCAGGUCAGAUGAUACUGUUGGACUCGAGUAUGGGAGAGGGUAGUGGAAUUUCCGGUGUAGCGGUGAAAUGCGUAGAGAUCGGAAGGAACACCAGUGGCGAAGGCGGCUACCUGGCCUGAUACUGACACUGAGGCACGAAAGCGUGGGGAGCAAACAGGAUUAGAUACCCUGGUAGUCCACGCUGUAAACGAUGUCAACUAGCUGUUGGAUACAUGAAAGUAUUUAGUGGCGCAGCAAACGCGAUAAGUUGACCGCCUGGGGAGUACGGUCGCAAGAUU
rnacentral:rRNA from 1 species